UUGUAGCCAAGACGGGGCAGGAGACAGAGCAAAACCACUGAGACCACCACUGAGAGGGUAACCAGGCUUCUCAGUAGAACCAGGGGCUUGCCGCAGGGACGGGAGCUCUGACUGGCCACGUCGUGGAGUCUGCAGCUGCCCAUGGUGGAGGGAAUGGCAUGCAGGUGACAAGGACAUAGCCGGACCUCACCCCACCCGCAGCCCUAGUGGACACGCCCAUGCAGGUGAUCAGCAGUGCCGUGGCAGCCACAGAGACAGGCCACCACCACUCCUCAGGCCACUCAAAGCCACCAGCCCCUCCCUAAUGGCCUCCUGAGCACCAGAAAUGCAGAGGGGUGACAGCAUGUCUCAGAACACACUGUGAGCACAGACCUAGAAUCACCACGUCGUUCAG
rnacentral:lncRNA from 1 species